rnacentral:rRNA from 1 species
GUAGGUGGCAAGCGUUGUCCGGAAUUAUUGGGCGUAAAGCGCGCGCAGGCGGUCCUUUAAGUCUGAUGUGAAAGCCCACAGCUCAACCGUGGAGGGUCAUUGGAAACUGGGGGACUUGAGUACAGAAGAGGAAAGCGGAAUUCCAAGUGUAGCGGUGAAAUGCGUUGAGAUUUGGAGGAACACCAGUGGCGAAGGCGGCUUUCUGGUCUGUAACUGACGCUGAGGCGCGAAAGCGUGGGGAGCAAACAGGGAUUAGAUACCCUGGUAGUCCACGCCGUAAACGAUGAGUGCUAAGUGUUAGGGGGUUUCCGCCCCCUUAGUGCUGCAGCUAACGCAUUAAGCACUCCGCCUGGGGAGUACGGCCGCAAGGCUG